UCCUGCGAAAGCCUCUUACAGAUCGCUCAUAUUGGGUUUAACACUGGAGGCAAAAUUAAUCCAUUGUUUGGGAUCGGGAGGAGUUCUCGCUGGGUUUCAACUGCCACAAGGAGUUUCCUUAUCACAGCUGAAUUUGAAUGGGGAGCAGAGAGCAGCUGUUCACCCUAGCCGGAAGGGAGAUGUCGAAACCUGUUGUACGGACUUAGGUUUAAGAAAUUCUCUUCUUAAGCACCCUAAAAUGUCUGUGCCGUUAUAGGUUGCACGUAGUGGGACAGCUGAGAUCCUGACCCCACUGGAAAAUCAAAAAAUGUCAGAGGAUCAUUGCCAG